AGACAACUAGGAUGUUGGCUUAGAAGCAGCCAUACAUUUAAAGAGUGCGUAAUAGCUCACUAGUCGAGAAAACCUGCGCCGAAAAUGUAACGGGGCUAAAACACGACACCGAAGCUACGGAUUUCCUACAAGGUAGGAAGUGGUAGAGGAGCAUCCUGCAAGGACGAAGCCAAAGUGAGAGCGAUGGUGGACGAAACAGGAGAGAGAAUGCCGGAAUGAGUAGCGAGAUACAUGUGAGAAACAUGUAGGCCGAAUAUCUAAGGAUUCCUGGGUAAAGCUAAUCUUCCCAGGGUUAGUCGGGGCCUAAGGCGAGGACGAAAGUCGUAGUCGAUGGAUAACAGGUUGAUAUUCCUGUACUACACAUAAUCAGAACUGUGGGGACGCAGGAGGAUAGGGAAACCGGGGAAUGGAAAGACCCGGUCAAGCGUAAAGCUGUGGGAGAUAGGCAAAUCCGUCUCCUGUAAGUGAAACGUGAUGAGGACUGAAAAAAAGUAAGGAAGUUUCCGAAUCCACACUGCCGAGAAAAGCCGCUAUUGCGUUAUGUGUACCCGUACCGUAAACCGACACAGGUAGAUGAGGAGAAAAUCCACAGGCCGACGGGAGAAGUGUUGUUAAGGAACUCGGCAAAAUGACCCCGUAACUUCGGGAUAAGGGGAGCCUCGCAAGAGGCCGCAGAAAAGAGGCACAAGCAACUGUUUAGCAAAAACAUAGGUCUAUGCGAAACCGUAAGGUGAAGUAUAUGGGCUGACGCCUGCCCGGUGCUGGAAGGUUAAGAGGAGAGGUUAGCGCAAGCGAAGCUUUGAAUUUAAGCCCCAGUAAACGGCGGCCGUAACUAUAACGGUCCUAAGGUAGCGAAAUUCCUUGUCAGGUAAGUUCUGACCCGCACGAAAGGCGUAAUGAUUUGUGCACUGUCUCGACAACACGCCCGGUGAAAUUGAAGAACCAGUGAAGAUACUGGUUACCCGCAACAGGACGGAAAGACCCCAUGGAGCUUUACUGCAGCCUGAUACUGGGAUUCGAUGAUAUAUGUACAGGAUAGGUGGGAGGCUAAGAAGCGAGAACGCUAGUUUUCGUGGAGCCGCCGGUGGGAUACCACUCUUAUGUCAUUGAAUUUCUAACCUGCAUCCGUAAUCCGGGUGAGGGACAAUGUCAGGCGGGCAGUUUGACUGGGGCGGUCGCCUCCUAAAAGGUAACGGAGGCGCUCGAAGGUCACCUCAGAAUGAUUGGAAACCAUUCAAAGAGUGUAAAGGCAAAAGGUGGCUUGACUGCGAG
rnacentral:rRNA from 1 species